CAGGUUCACCCAUGGCUGUGCUGGUGCAGCACAGAGAAGGACUGUCUACGCAAUGAACCUACUCAAGACUUCACCGACUGGCGAGGUGAUGAAAACAAGACUCUUCAGUCCCUGCUGUCCCUAAGGCCCUACCUCAGUUCCUCCAAGAUAACUCAGGUGUCCUUGCAUCUCCCCUGAUUCCAGCACACAGGACACUCUUUACUCUCCCGAAUGUCAUCUAGCAAGACCCGACCCUGUCUGGAACUGAGCAUCCGGAACCACUUGUGUGCAUCACAUGCAAUUUCCAGCUGUUGUGGGAAAGCAAUGAAUGAAGAGAAAGUACUAGACCCUGACAAGGCUUAGCAUCUAGGGGAGGAGGGGGAGAAGUAGGGAGAAGAUCCUAAAGGUCAAAUGCAAUGUCUCCCAUUGUUCAUGUACCUUUUCAAAAAGAGACAAUUCCAUUUGAUCCACUAAUACAGUGGUUCUCAACCUUCCUAAUGCCGCGACCCUUUAAUACAGUUCCUCAUGUUGUGGUGAC